UAAAUUUUAGAGUCGGUCCCCUAGAUUCAAACCAAGUGCUAUGGUGGUUAUUAAUCCUCCAAUCACAAAAGGUUGGCGGCCUCUAGCACAUAGGGUGCGAAUAUGGUGAAAUAAGAAAGAAGCAGCGUUUACCUUUGUAUCCAUUUCAAAGACGCAGUGGAGGAAGAAUAAUUCCUUCGCGUUGACCUUGCUGUUGUUGGGUCGACCAAAAAUGGUGUUUUGCAGGAUGCGGAUAAAAU
rnacentral:lncRNA from 1 species